AGUGAACGCUGGCGGUAGGCCUAACACAUGCAAGUCGAACGGCAGCACAGUAAGAGCUUGCUCUUACGGGUGGCGAGUGGCGGACGGGUGAGGAAUACAUCGGACUCUACUUUUUCGUGGGGGAUAACGUAGGGAAACUUACGCUAAUACCGCAUACUACCUACGGGUGAAAGCAGGGGAUCUUCGUACCUUGCUCGAUUGACUGAGCCGAUGUCGGAUUAGCUAGUUGGCGGGGUAAAGGCCCACCAAGGCGACGAGCCGUAGCUGGUCUGAGAGGCUGAUCAGCCGCACUAGAACUGAGACACGGUCCAGACUACUACGGGAGGCAGCAGUGGGGAAUAGUGGACAAUGGGCGCAAGUCUGAUCCAGCCAGACCGAGUGGGUGAAGAAGGCGUUCGGGUUGUAAAGCCCUUUUGUUGGGAAAGAAAAGCAGCAGGUUAAUACCCAGCUGUUCUGACGGUACCUAAAGAAUAAGCACCGGCUAACUUCGUG
rnacentral:rRNA from 1 species